rnacentral:rRNA from 1 species
UAAUACAGAGGAGCCAAGCGUUGUCCGGAUUGACUGGGCGUAAAGCGCACGCAGGCGGAGGUGCGCGUGGGGUGUGAAAUCUGGCCGCUUAACGGCCAGGCGCCAUCCCAUACGGCACGUCUGGAGCGAUGCAGAGGUCGGUGGAAUUGCCGGUGUAGUGGUGAAAUGCGUAGAGAUCGGCAGGAACACCCAGGGGGAAACCAGCCGACUGGGCAUCAGCUGACGCUGAGGUGCGAGAGCGUGGGGAGCGAACCGGAUUAGAUACCCGGGUAGUCCACGCCGUAAACGAUGGCCACUCGGCCUUUGAGGGCGGAAUCUCCGUUCUUGGGGGCCUUAGCAAACGCGGGAAGUGGCCCGCCUGGGAACUACGAGCGCAAGCUUA